rnacentral:rRNA from 1 species
GAUGAACGCUGGCGGCGUGCCUAAUACAUGCAAGUCGAGCGAACGGACGAGAAGCUUGCUUUUCUGAUGUUAGCGGCGGACGGGUGAGUAACACGUGGAUAACCUACCUAUAAGACUGGGAUAACUUCGGGAAACCGGAGCUAAUACCGGAUAAUAUUUUGAACCGCAUGGUUCAAAAGUGAAAGACGGUCUUGCUGUCACUUAUAGAUGGAUCCGCGCUGCAUUUGCUAGUUGGUAAGGUAACGGCUUACCAAGGCAACGAUGCAUAGCCGACCUGAGAGGGUGAUCGGCCACACUGGAACUGAGACACGGUCCAGACUCCUACGGGAGGCAGCAGUAGGGAAUCUUCCGCAAAGGGCGAAAGCCUGACGGAGCAACGCCGCGUGAGUGAUGAAGGUCUUCGGAUCGUAAAACUCUGUUAUUAGGGAAGAACAUAUGUGUAAGUAACUGUGCACAUCUUGACGGUACCUAAUCAGAAAGCCACGGCUAACUACGUG